rnacentral:rRNA from 1 species
AUUGAGCGCUGGCGGCAUGCUUUACACAUGCAAGUCGAACGGCAGCGCGGGCUUCGGCCUGGCGGCGAGUGGCGAACGGGUGAGUAAUACAUCGGAACGUGCCCAGUAGUGGGGGAUAGCUCGGCGAAAGCCGGAUUAAUACCGCAUACGACCUGAGGGUGAAAGCGGGGGAUCUUCGGACCUCGCGCUAUUGGAGCGGCCGAUGGCAGAUUAGCUAGUUGGUGGGGUAAAGGCCUACCAAGGCGACGAUCUGUAGCUGGUCUGAGAGGACGACCAGCCACACUGGGACUGAGACACGGCCCAGACUCCUACGGGAGGCAGCAGUGGGGAAUGUUGGACAAUGGGCGAAAGCCUGAUCCAGCAAUGCCGCGUGGGUGAUGAAGGCCUUCGGGUUGUAAAGCACUUUUGGCGGGAACGAAAAGGACUGUGCCAAUACCACGGUUCGAUGACGGUACCCGCAGAAUAAGCACCGGCUAACUACGUG